UCUCGCAGAACAUUCAACGCUGUCGGUGAGUUUUAGACAUUGAAAAACCAUCGACCGUUGACUGUGCCCUGAGG
rnacentral:pre_miRNA from 1 species